rnacentral:rRNA from 1 species
CCUACGGGUCGCACCAGUGGGGAAUAUUGCACAAUGGGCGCAAGCCUGAUGCAGCCAUGCCGCGUGUAUGAAGAAGGCCUUCGGGUUGUAAAGUACUUUCAGCGGGGAGGAAGGCGAUAAGGUUAAUAACCUUGUCGAUUGACGUUACCCGCAGAAUAAGCACCAGCUAACUCCGUGCCAGCAGCCGCGGUAAUACGGAGGGUGCAAGCGUUAAUCGGAAUUACUGGGCGUAAGGCGCACGCAGGCGGUCUGUCAAGUCGGAUGUGAAAUCCCCGGGCUCAACCUGGGAACUGCAUUCGAAACUGGCAGGCUGGAGUCUUGUAGAGGGGGGUAGAAUUCCAGGUGUAGCGGUGAAAUGCGUAGAGAUCUGGAGGAAUACCGGUGGCGAAGGCGGCCCCCUGGACAAAGACUGACGCUCAGGUGCGGAAGCGUGGGGAGCAAACAGGAUUAGAUACCCCAGUAGUC